CUCUCUCUCUCUCUCUCUCUAAAUGCUGGCUAAAAAUAAUGGCAUCUGCCAACACAUUAAAAUUCCAUAGAAUCUGUUUAUAACUGAAACAAGGUGAAAAGCCAUGAAAUGUGUAUAACAAGCCAGAUAAGUAAUCAAUUACAAAUAUUCGCAAGGACUUGUGAAAAAGAACAUGAGCAGUUUUUUGGCCCAAGAGUAGCCAGUAGGUGAAGUGUACAACAAUUCAAUGGCGGGAGGGUAUUCACAUGAGCUCAACCUGCCUUAUAUCUCAAAACUUCCUUGGCUUGGCUAAUUAAGGUGUUCAGACUAUAGCCUUAAGAAAGAAAAAAGAAGAGACAAGCACAAAGGGAAAAGAAGGGCAGGAAAGAGGAAAAGCAAGUUUAGGAACUGCUGAGGGAGAAAAGGCAAGUUGAAACAAGAAUAUCCAUUGACAACAACAAUGCAAUGAAAUCUGGCUUCCAUAUGCACCAAAACUAGCUCACAGUUCCAAGAAUCAAUAGUGAUCAUCUAUUGGGCCUAUAGGAGAGAGAUGAAUCUUAAUCCAGCAUAAAACUUUUAAAGCAAAUUCAGAAAUACUCACAUUUCUUCUUCUGGUUCAUUUUUGAGAGCAUUCUUGGCAAUACACUGGAAAGCAGCUUCUACAUUGAAACCCUCCUUUGCAGAAGUUUCGAAAUAAGGAAUAUCUCCCUUGGAGGCACACCAUGCCUUAGCUUUCUUCUCAGAUACCACACGACUAUUGCCACCAUCGACAUCUAUCUUGUUCCCCAGUACAACAAAUGGGAAGUUUUCAGGAUCAGAAGGGCUGGCCUGAAUAUUAACAGGGAAAAAAAAGUGAUAAGAUGGAAUAAGAGAUUGUCACAUGAUAAUGGCAUUAAUCAUACCUGAAUCAGAAACUCCUCUCGCCAGUUGUUAAGGUUUUCAAAUGAUUUCAUUACAUUCACAUCAUAGACAAGAACACAACAGUCUGCCCCACGGUAAAAUGCCACUCCAAGGCUUUGAAAUCUUUCCUGCCCAGCUGUGUCCCAUAUCUGCAAUGUAAAAAGCCUAUCCUCAAACUGAACUUCUUUAGUCAAGAAAUCAGCCCCAAUUGUUGCUUUGUACUGAUUACUGAACUUGCGAUUCACAUACUGAUUCAUGAGAGAUGUCUUCCCAACCCCGCUAUCACCGAGGAUAAUGACUUUAAGAAGCAUCCGUCUCCGAGAAGCCAUUAUUGGAUUCGAAAGCUAAAUUUGGAUUCUGUGUUACAAAAACAGGAAGACAAUACUUCUUGUAACUUCUUCUUUAGAUUAUUUAAUGUACCUUUUUUCAAUCAAAAUAAAAAAUAUAUGAAGUGAUUCGAUUGAACGACCGAAAUCAUUUGGAUGAUCAUUUCAGGAC
rnacentral:misc_RNA from 1 species